UUCGUCGGAUUCCCACCGGCGGCGGCGCACCGCGACCACAACGGCGGCGCAUACCCGGAGUGUCGCGGCUGCUGCUGCCGCUGCCGCCCGGCGCGCUCUACCGCUGGUUUGCACCGCCGCAGACGGGAGACGCGUCCAGGUGCAGAGUAGUAGAGAACGGAGCGAAUCUGCAAGGUUUCCUCCGUUUCUUCAGGCAUUAAAUUGCCGAAGGAAACAAGCAGUCAAUUUCCUCAAUGUUAUGCACAAUGUUCUUCCAUGCUGAACUCAGGUUAAAAGGAAUCCAAGCUUGGGAAUUUCCUGGAAAGACCAACGAAGGGAGACCUGUUUGAAAGAGAAAGGCACAGCUGCUGCAGGACUGCAGCUUAGCUACAGUCUCAGAAAUAAUCAUGUGUGUAUCAAUAUCACAUCCUUUCUCUUGUGAUUAGUCCAACCAUGGUCCAUGGCUGCCAGGUGCGAGCUUUACGUGGCAAUCCUUGAAGAAAAAUAAAAACAUGUAUGGUUGAUGAAGGCGUGCGAUUUUUUUUUCCUUCUAUGGGUGAUACGAAGGUGCGUGAUUUCUCCUGGUUUCGUCUUGAUGUGCGGUGUUUCACACUUUGAUAGUGUAAUCCCUUUUCUUAAUGUCUACUAGGUAGCUUAGCUUGUUUGACACGUGCUAUUCCUGAGAGUUUCGAGUUCUUUAGCAGCAGUCAAGGAAGGACGACGAAUUAUCCUGCUUUGAUUAUAAUUUUACUUUAGCUGAAGUAUUAGAUUUUACAAACUUAUU